rnacentral:misc_RNA from 1 species
UACAUGGAGUCCAAGCGUUAUCCGGAUUUACUGGGCGUAAAGCGUCCGCAGGCUUUUCGGAAAGUUUUCAGUGAAAUCUCUCGGCCCAACCGAGAAACCGUUGAAAAAACUACCGGAAUCGAGUGUGGCAGAGGCAGAGGGAAUUCCCGGUGUAGGGGUAAAAUCCGUUGAUAUCGGGAAGAACACCAGUGGCGAAGGCGCUCUGCUGGGCCAUCACUGACGCUCAGGGACGAAAGCGUGGGUAGCGAACGGG